UCUAUUUAUUUAAAAAAUACUGAAUAUUCUUUCAAAAGUAUAAAUCUGAAAGACUUAUAUCUAGAGGACACAUUUUAUAAAUACAUUUGUAUGCACCGAAAACAUUUUUUUUCCUUUCUUUCUUUAAAAUUUUCAAAUGAAAUAAACGAAAAUGAAAGACUUAUAUCUAGAGUACACAUUUUAUAAAUACAUUUGUAUGCACCGAAAUCAUUUUUUUCCUUUCUUUCUUUUAAGUUUUCAAAUGAAAUAAACGAUAAAUGAUACAAGUUUUUAAACAAAUCUGCCUCCAAAUAUCAGACAUUUUCUUCUGUAGCGGAGGAACAUCAGUUGUCGGUCAUAUGGCACCAAGUCUGCUGUUUCGCGUUGUUCACAUCGGCGUCCCAUAGUUCCGUAAUAAUUCUCUGUUGUUUCUGAAUUCUAUAUGCAUACAUCUCGUUGCGGAGUAGUAUAGCAGUCUGUGACAUCCUGAAUUGCUAAUCAUUAGAAUUGUCUAAAAUACUUCCAGUUAUAUAGUUUCAAUUUGUUGAAUCUUUGCAGUUUUCAGCUUGGGCAAAAUAAAGUAUUUAUAUCAGCUGGUUCUUCAUAAUCAAUUUAUUUGCAAACUGUGUCGGGUAUUUUCAAUAAGAAUUGCAUGGGUAAUUAAAGGUAUAAUACACUGACGAGAAUCUGGCACCGUGUAAAUAUAUCUGUUGCUAAAAUGUUUCUUAUUUGUCUUGUUUCUUUGUUGUUUUCUACACAGAAUUUCAGAUUAUUACUUUUUCCAUUUUAACAUUGUUCAUAAAUUCUGUCUUAUCAAAGUUUCUUUAAUUGUAGAUGGAGAGAAAGAUUGAUAUAUCAUUAUAGCUCGGGGUUAUUUUUCGUUGAUUGUUGUAUUAUUCAUGAUUUUAUCUUUAUCACUUUGACGUUCCACCAGGAAGUUGCUGAUAUAGUUGACUGAUAAUAAGUCCUUAAGGGCUCGUUCUGUAAGGGCGUCUUUCAUUGGUCAAUAUUGUGUGUUAAUCCGUGAAUUUGUCAGUCCCUUUUUGCAUUCCUGGCAGAAACUGUUAUCUAACUGGCCAUUAUACUUUUUGCUUGUACUGUGUGCAGACGUGUUUUAGAAGUUUUGUUUGAAAUUUAAUUAAAAUGCCACCGUAAUACGAGCAUUCAGAUAUAAUAAAAGGAUAUAACAAUGGACAAGAAGAAUGAUUACACGUAUUCAAGUCAUUAUAAGACUCGUUUGACAAGGACUGUGUAUCCAACUCCUCCGUCUCUAUGGACUUAUCUGAAUGCGAAUCACCUGAUUCCAUGCGAUAAUCAUUAUCAAGUAUCAGAAACAUCAGAUUCAUCAUUACUGCUUGAGCUAGAAUCAUCUGGAGGUAUUACAUAAUUAACCCUCUGUCUUGGAUAACCUUUGACAACUUUGCGUUCGGGCCAUUCAGCAAUGUCAGCAAGCCUUAUCUGAUCUGACUGUACUUGAACAACAGAGUUGUCAAGCUGGUUCUUAAUAAGUAGGCAUUUACCUAGAGCAUUUUAUUUUCAAGGGAAAUAAUUGUGGUCUGACAGUAUUAUUUUGAAAAUCACAGUUGAGAUUUUUUUAUGUAUGCACCGGUACAGUUUUGUGGGGAAGCGAAAGUUGUCAUGGAAUUUUGUCUUCUUCUAAAAACAAGUGUCUGAUACAUGUAGUUGCAGUCUGUCUUUGGAAGCUGUAGAAAUAACAAGAAAGAGGCUGACAUAGUGUUUUGGUAGGGAAAAGUUUGAGUAGUACAUGUACAGUUGUUUGACCUGUCUUACCCUGUGGCAGUCCAAGAAGAUGUUACCAUUAUGAAAAAUGCAGGAGAACUUGAAGACAAUGGUUAGUGCAGAAGGGACAUAAAAGUUAUGACAAAAGUAACAGAUAUAAAUAAGACGUGCUACAAGUGUGUUGUCAUGUGAAAUGGAAUUUACCCCAACUGUGCUGCAAGAUGUAUAUUCAAGUGCAAGACAGCCAUGCACCAGCUGUAAACUGAGAUGGACCCAUAUAAUAAAUAUGUUGACUUUUCUAUGUAUUAUCAUCUGUACAGAAUGUGUUCAUGACAAGACUGUAUACAUAUAUUGUUAAAUCAUUUUUUAUUUCCAUUAUUGCAUGCAUGUAAGAAGCAAGCAUUUAGCAAUUGCAUUCAUAGAAGUGCUAAAAUGUGAUCAAUCUAAUUUAAAGAAACACAUUUAAUUGGACUUUUUAAGUUUCAUAGUAUUUGUGGUGGAGACUGACCCAGUCAUUCAGCAACUUAUACUGUCUGUGUGUCAUUUCUUGUAUGUUAUAGUUUUCUUAAUAAUACAUUAAAUGUCAAAGUUAUGCUAAGAUGAACUCAUUCAUCACUUGUAGAUUAAUGUUAAAGCAGUUCAACAUUUUACCAUAAGUUAACUAAUAUUCUAUUUAACCAGAGUUGUCACAUAUUUUCAUAUAAAUAUUUGUACAAUACAGUCUAAUCUAAUCUACAUAUGAUGUUCCACAAUUUUUUAGUUAUAUUUUAUGUUGAUAUUUUAUGUUGUUUUCAUGUCUCAACAUAUAAUUACUAACAUCAAAGAAACCUAAGUAUUUUACAAUUUGGUUGGUAUAAAUGGUUAUUUUAUUUUUUUUUCCAUCCAGGAGAAUAAAGAAAUAUACAUUUCAAACUAUCUCAUCAUUCCAAAUAAGUACACUACAUAAUCAAGAUAAAAGAAAUAAGAACAAAAUAUGUUGGUGGAAUUUUAUUUUCAAAAAUUUGAUAUACAGUCUUUGUAGUAUUUACUUCUUUAGAUAUGUUGGGCUGAAAUGGGAAUAACAAGAUACUUUAAAUUUUUGUAGUCAUAAGUUAAUAUGGGAAUUAUUAACUUAACUUAAAAAGAUUUUAUCUCACUGUUAUGCCAUCUGAGCUUUAAUAUUUUUCAACAUUGUCAUUGGCAACAAGGCUCAAAAUUAUUUGUUGUGUAUAACUUGCAUUCAUGUGUAAUAAAUGCUUUUAUGGUAUUCUUUAAUAUAAUUUAUGCUUUUCAUCUUACCAUGGAUUAAAAAAAAUAUAAAUUUAUUUGUCUGAAAAUUAAGAUAAAAAUACUGACUGAUUAAAUUGCAAUAUAAGAAAGCUUAUUUGAGAUAAAGGGAGGUAAUUCCAUAAAAAAUAUGUAGAAUGUAGAUGAUAAAUGUAAUGAAGGGAGGUAAUAAAAUAUUGUGAAGUUAUUAGUCUUCAUUUCUUUGAUGAGCUAAUUAAUUGUUUUACAUUUUGGUUUAUUAACUACAAGUAUGACCUAACAUGUGAACCUGUCCUGAAGGAAAAUAAAAUAGGUUGUUUGAUGUCCUUGUACUGUUAAGUUGUUCCUGUAUUUGUUUACAUUCCAUGUCUGAAUGAAAUGAAGAAACUUUAAUGAGGGUAUCCCGGGAAAAUACCUAAGUUUAUUUUUAUAUCAGCUAAUUUGAUGAGAUAGUCACUCAGGAGUUGUCUAUCCUAUUUCCAAAAAUGCUAUGGGGACUAAAUUUUUUGGAGUAAAUAUCUUUUUUAAAAAAUAACACACAGCAUUUUAAUAUUGUAUAUAUAUUAUCUUAUGCACUUAGCAAUAUAUAUUUGGAGUCAAAAUGUUAAAAAUUCAGGUUUUAAUGUUUUAGUUACAAUGUCUAUAAUAAGGUAUGUAACUGGACAUUUUUGUUCAAGAAUUCUGUAAUGUGAUUUCCAGCGGUCUUCAAGCUUGUUUUUUCUUUGAUAGUUCUUAUAACAGACAGGAUCAUUUAUUUCGAACUUAAUGUCUUUUGCCUUUUUUGUCUACUUGUGCCUUAUGUUUUCGUUUUGAGCGUUUUAAAUGUCUAUAAGCUGUAAGGAAACUUGAAUGAUGUUCUUGAAGAACUCUUCGCCAUUGUAUUUAGCUCUAGGCUUUAGCAAAUUAUCAAUAGGUAAAAUCGGGUCUCUGUUGUAAACUAAAUAGAAAGGUGUGAACUUUGAACUUGAAGAAACAUUGUGAUAUAUGCCUGCUAAAGACAUAUUAAGAUGAAGAUCCCAUUCACGUGUAUAACCUUGAACUUUUUUUGCUAAAAUAUCAUGCAGAACUCUGUGCAUUCGUUCUUGUUUUGCAUUACUUUCAGGGUGGUAUGCUGUACAUGAUACAUUGUCAAUAUUUAACUCUUUCAGAACUUCCCUAAAGGCAGAACUCGUACAUUCUGACCCUCGGUCAUGAAUAAUCUGGAGAGGACAUCCAUAUCUAGGAUAUAUCUCAUUCAAAAAUUCUGGUGGUCGUGAAAAGAAAUCAGCAAUAACAUUUGCCUUUCCGGGAAGAUACUCUAUCUUACAGUUGUAACCACUAAUAGACAAUGCCCAUAACUGAAUUUUCUUGUUUUGCAUUGGACUUUUUAAUAAAUGAUGGAGCGGAGAAUGGUCGCAUUUGAUUGUAAAUUCAGCAUUGUGUAAAAAGCAAUCUAGACGUUGCAAAGAAUAAAAGAUGGCGUACGCCUCCUUCUCAAUAGUGCUGUAUUUCUUUUGUGUUUCACUUUGUUUAUGAGACAGAAGAUAUAUAGGUUUUUCUUUAUUUUCAUCUGAUUCUAGUGAAUUACACGCUUGAGUUACGCACGCUGCCCCAUGACUAUCGCUGGCAUCGGUGUACAAUGUAAACGGCUUGUUUGGAUCUGGGUAGGAUAAGAAGGGAAUAGCUGUUAAUUGUUCUUAAAUUUUCUAAAAACUUUUCUGACAUUUUUCUGUCCAAAUAAAUGGAGACCUUUUCCUUGUAAGGUUUAUAAGAGGUUCUGCUAUUUCUGAAAAUGAGGGGAUGAACCGACGAUAAAAUGAGGAUGCCCCGAUUAUUUUUCGAACUUCACGCACAUUUUUUGGAACCGGAAGUGACAUAAUAGCUUUAACUUUAUCAGGAAUUGGUCUGACGCCAUCUUCAUCUAUGACAAAACCUAAGCAUUCGGUUUUAGGCUGCAUGAAUUGACACUUUUUCAACUUAAGUUUAAGUUUUUGCUCUCUUAACUUUUGAAAAAUAAUGUCUAAGUGGCGUUUAUGUUCUUCUAAUGUUUAACUAAAGACAAGGCAGUCGUCCAAGUACGUGACAGCAAAAUCUAGACCCUCUAAGACUUUAGACAUUAGUUCCUGUAACCCCAGGGGCAUUAACUAAUCCGAAGCAGAUAACGUUAAAUUCGAAUAGACCCCUGAAUGUAGUAAAUGCAGUUUUUCUUUAUCUUUUUCAUCAACUGGUAUUUGCCAAAAUCCUCAGAGACAGUCUAGGGUAGUAAAGUAUUUUGAUUCAUCUAAAAGAGCCAAUAUAUCAUCGAUAUGAGGUAGAGGCUAUGCUGUGGGUCUCACCAGGGCAUUGAUCCUCCUAAAGUCUAUACAAAAUCUGGUACUGUUGUCGUUUUUUUUUUUUUUUUUUUACCCAGCACACCAGGACUUGCAUAGGGACUUUGAGAAGGUCUUAUUACGUUAGCCUUAAGCAUUUCAUCUAUAGCAUCACUCAUAAUUUUUCUAUCAUUUAAUGGUACUCUGUAUGGUCGCUGCUUUAUCGGUUCAUGUUCUAUAGUAGGAAUUUUCAUUGUAAUCGUAUCUGUCUGUGACAACUCUGAGUCAUUAUUCGCAAAAACGUCCCUAUUUGUUUGAACUAAUUUUUCUACAUACUGAAAGUGUUCCUUAUGUGUUAUUAUUUUUUUUUUUGUAUUAAUACUUGAUUUUUCGCCCUUAUUGUGUGAUAGUUUAUUGACAUCAGAAACAGAAGCUAUACAUUUUUCAUCAAUUUGUUCAACAGUUGCGACAGCACAUCCGUUUCUUAAUUUAAUUGUUCUAUUUGUAGAAUUUACUAACAUAACAGGAAACCUACGAUGUUUUCAUAACUUUAUGAUUGAAUUAGCUACCAUUAAACCAGGUUCUGUACUAAGAUAACCAUCGUCAACACUUUUUAAUUCAUAUGUUUUAAAAUUCUUUAGUUUAGAGUCUUUCCUUAAUUGUCCUGAACAAAUAUGCACUGUUUGAUGUUUAAUUACAGUAUCUUUUUGCAAUCUAACUACUGAAGCAAUAUGUACAUCUUCUUGUAAUGUGACUUAGCUAUUUUUAACUCUCAUUGAUAAAAAAUCGAAAUAAAUUUUGCAUUUGUUCUGAAUGAGAAAGUCCCUUCCAAGUAUUGCUGUUCUAUUCAUAUUUGAGACCAUAUAAAAUUUAUGUUCUAUUUUUUCUCCACCUAUUCGAAAAAUAAGAUUGGUGUAUCCAUCUACAUGCAGUGAAUUACUAUUUACAGACGGUAAUGAAACUUUAUGAUUUUUAAAUAGUUUAGGCUUCCUAUUUAAUGAUUCAUAUGUCCUCCUUUUAAUUAAUGAGACUUCUGCUUCAGAGUCUACAAAUGCCCUUAUUUUCUGUUUCCCUAUUUUAAUUGUACAAGAGUUUGGAUUCCCCGCUAGCGCUAUAAAAUACGUUGAUAAAUCAUUAUUCCUACCACCGACUUCUUUAUGACAGGAAUAUUUUAGUUUAAAGGCAUAAAUAUGUUUCUAUUAGGUCUCAAUACACUUCUACAUUCUCUCAUAAAAUGUCCUAAUUUUCCACAAUUCCAGCAAUCAAUAUAUUUUUUCAAAUCAUAAUUGCUUUGAGAUUUAUUUUGGCUUGAAUUCUGCAUAUGUCUAGUGGCUUUCUUUCGUAAUAAUACUGCAUGAACAUAUUUCUGACGUGUCCUACAUUGCUUGAUAUUAUGACCUAGCCUACGGCAAUAGUGACAACGAAUUUCUGCCUGAGUGUGAUCUAAGU